rnacentral:rRNA from 1 species
UACGGAGGGGGCUAGCGUUGUUCGGAAUUACUGGGCGUAAAGCGCACGUAGGCGGCUUGGUAAGUUAGAGGUGAAAGCCUGGAGCUCAACUCCAGAAUUGCCUUUAAGACUGCCGAGCUAGCAGGUGAGAGAGGUGAGUGGAAUUCCGAGUGUAGAGGUGAAAUUCGUAGAUAUUCGGAAGAGCACCAGUGGCGAAGGCGGCUCACUGGCCUGGUAUUGACGCUGAGGUGCGAAAGCGUGGGGAGCAAACAGG